rnacentral:rRNA from 1 species
GACGAACGCUGGCGGCGUGCUUAACACAUGCAAGUCGAACGAGGUCCAUGCAGUAGCAAUACUGCGGAAGACCUAGUGGCGAACGGGUGCGUAACACGUGAGGAACUUGUCCCGGUCUCUGGGAUAACAGUUGGAAACGACUGCUAAUACCGGAUGACGUCGGAGCAUCGCAUGGUGCGCUGACGAAAGGGUUACUGGAUCGGGAGAGCCUCGCGGCCUAUCAGCUUGUUGGUGGGGUAACGGCCUACCAAGGCAUCGACGGGUAGCUGGUCUGAGAGGAUGAUCAGCCACACUGGGACUGAGACACGGCCCAGACUCCUACGGGAGGCAGCAGUGGGGAAUCUUGCGCAAUGGGCGAAAGCCUGACGCAGCAACGCCGCGUGCGGGAAGAAGGCUCUCGGGUUGUAAACCGGCUUUCAGCAGGAACGAAAAUGACGGUACUUGCAGAAGAAGGUGCGGCCAACUACGUGCCAGCAGCCGCGGUAAAACG